AGACUCCGGUUGAUCCUGCCGGACCCCACUGCUAUCGGGGUGAGGCUAAGCCAUGCAAGUCGAAGGUCCCCGGCUCCG
rnacentral:rRNA from 1 species